UAGUGCUGUAAGUCCCUCUCGAAAAGAAUGAGGCCGCCAAUUGGCGGGUGGGACGAAGUAGAGAGGGGUUCGCUA
rnacentral:sRNA from 12 species